rnacentral:rRNA from 1 species
UAUCCGGAAUUAUUGGGCGUAAAGGGCUCGUAGGCGGUUCGUCGCGUCCGGUGUGAAAGUCCAUCGCUUAACGGUGGAUCCGCGCCGGGUACGGGCGGGCUUGAGUGCGGUAGGGGAGACUGGAAUUCCCGGUGUAACGGUGGAAUGUGUAGAUAUCGGGAAGAACACCAAUGGCGAAGGCAGGUCUCUGGGCCGUCACUGACGCUGAGGAGCGAAAGCGUGGGGAGC